rnacentral:lncRNA from 1 species
UUUUUUUUUUUUUUUUUUUUUUCUGUGAGACGGAGUCUUGUACUGUCACUCAGGCUGGAGUGCAAUGGCGCAAUCUCGGCUCACUGCAACCUCCGCCUCUCAGGUUCAAGCAAUUCUCCUGCCUCAGCCUCCCAAGUAGCUAGGACUACAGGUGCCUGCCACCACGCCCGGCUAAUUGUUUUUUUUUGUUUUUUUUUUUAACUUUUAGUAGAGAUGGGGUUUCACUAUGUUGGCCAGGCUGGUCUCAAACUCCCGACCUUGUGAUCUGCCCGCCUCAGCCUCCCAAAAUGGUGGGAUUAUAGGCAUGAGCCACCACGCCAGGCCUUGACUUGCUUUUUCACAAUGAUACAAAGGACUUUUACGAGGUGAGAGUACAAAGCUGAAAAAUUGUUCCCUAAGCACAAAAAUGACUAAACAAAAAUAAAAGGAACAUAACUGGAAGUGGCGAGGUCUUAUGGAGAGAGAAGGAAUCACAAACAUUCUCAUCUAUACAACCACCAGGAUAGGUUAUCAAACUGUCAUCCCCACAGGAGAUCUGCUUGCAAAGGAGGGUUCUAGUUGAGAGCUCACCUAAAGUCCAAAGGCUUAACUCAGAAAUCUCUUGGGUUGCCUCUGAGCUCAUGAAGAUGCAAAAGUGGGGAUUUGGGAUUAUCUACUUCACAAUUUUGUCGUCAUAUUUUAGCCCAGAGAAAAGCUCACUUCUAUACAGUCAUUGUUGCCCCUACAGAUUCACUUUCCAAUUCCCCAAAACAGGGCAUUUUGGGAAAGCAACUGCUUUGGCUGCAAUUUGAUAGGCACAGGUGGCACCACCAGCUGCAAGUAAUUUAGCUCUUACUGGCAUUGCCACAUCUCUUGGACUUUGCAUAUUCUGUGUCAACAGAGAGGAGUACAGGGGAAGAGAAGCCAAGAAGAGAAGACAAUGAGAAUGUGGGAGAAGUAAUGGCAUCCUCAUGGUGCAGGUUCACUGAGGUUGUCAUUUGUGUUCAUUCUUUUGUAAACUGGGCUAGAUGAAGUUAUGGAUGAAGACAAUCAGGUCAGACAUUGGGUCAGCACUAACCACGUGUCAGCAGACAAAACCAACAGGAUCCUUCAGAUGUCCUUUCCAAGCCAGAAACUGGUAUCACUUCCUGCCUGCCAGACAGUGAGGUUCUAGGGAUUGACAUUCUAUUCCAGGUGAAAGUGAUUCUUCUACACAUGAACGCACAUGGGUUCCUCUCUUACCUCCAAAGAGGUAUAGUGGCCAGUCCUUUUUUCUCUGAGCUCCUGAAUACUUGGUUACCCUAGUAGAGUAAACACAGGCUCCAGUUUAGCAAAUUCAAGCCCAAGGGAAGGGAUAUUUGGGGCUCAGGUUUUGACAGUUGAGUAUUUGGGGCUCAGGCUUUGAAAAGCUAUGAAUUACUUAUUUUUCUGGUGGUCCCUUCACAGCCUUUGACUCCUAGUAAAGAUAAGGAUGGCCAGAGACGGAUACCGAGAAAGGAUUAAAAACAAAGGGCACACAGCUAUCAGCAGAGGCUUUACUGGAACAAGAGUGCCAGUUUUCUCCUUCUAAAUUACAAAAUUCCCUGAUCUCUUAAAAAGAAAAAAAGAGAAAAGAAAAGAAAGUCAAGAGCCCUUCAAGGACUUUCUGGUACCACCUGUAUGUUGAGGCCACAAUCAAAGUAAACAGCACAUUCAAGAGCCCAUGCAGUCAGAAACCUGAUUUAAAAAGAUUUUCUCUCUCUAUCUCUUUCAUUACCUCCUGGCCCCAACUUCCUAGGAGCCUUACAAUGUCUCUCAAAAGCAGAAUCCUGAUUGAGAUUCUAGGACAUGCUUUGCUCCCAGAUCGAACCCUCCCCAGAGCUCAGCCCAUGGUUUUGCUCACUGUUCUCCCCAAACGAUGUACAGGUCUUGCUUGAAUGAGACCACUCUAAAUGAACAAGAUACCAUCAUAACAGUGCCACCAAAGAUGACCACUCUCCAGAAAUAUUCCUGGGCAAAUGUUAUUUCGAGGCCCAUUCCUAUAACGCAACAUUCACCUGGGAAGAACAAAACCAGGCUGGCAGCAGAAAGUGUGCUUGCCGUGCCGUCAGCUGCUCAUUCACCAAACCUGGAAAGCAGGUCCCAGAGGGGCUCUGACAGCUCCUACAACUAACCCAUCAGUCAAACAUAUGAUGCUACAAUUUGAUCCAAGAAAGCAAAUAUCAAUUAUAUCCUUCCAAUACUAAAAGGGAAAAAAAAAAGUCCUCAACCAACCAUAGCCAAAGAGAUAACAGCAGCGAGUUUCACUCUGAGGCUGAUCCAGC